AAUAGACAAUGUCGCUUCUGCCUACAUCAUGAUUAAAAAUGAAAGGACGUUAUUGGCCUUUUGUGUUCUGUUUGCUUUCAAAUCACUCAAUUUCUCAAGACCAAAGAGCAUCCUGCAAAUUUACAGAUACAAUCUGUUCAUUUGGCGCGCCUAAUCUCUCUCUCUGCUGUACCGAAGAAGAAUACUUGGCAGUUCGCAAGCAACAUGUAACUGUGCAGUACCACCUGCAGGUAAUAAUGUGAGGGGAAGGCUGUGAAAGGGCAAGAUCUUGGGUGUAACCGUCGUAAUGUCCCCCCAACUCUCUAUCGUGAGGUGAUGAAAAAGAUAGAGGGAGGGAGAGACAUUACAACGGUCACACGGUCAAAUCUCUCCUGUGAAAGGGAUUGUUGCCAUGUUCCGCCAGUAGUUGGUUUAUUGAAAAAACGAAUCAACAAGACUACAAGAACUAGGAAGGCAACUGCAAGGCCUACCUUUCCAAUAGAAGAGUGUUCAUCCCAACUGAUGUGACGAGCAUUCGAGCAUGGCCAUCUACCACCUUUGCACCGGAGAACAGGAAGGGGUUCUUGGCGGAAUCAACUUCAACAUGGUCACUCUCUCCCGUCAUGCUUGACUCGUCCACUUGUAAGGAAUACCCAUCUAGGAACAAUCCAUCUGCAGUUACUGAGAGCUGAGACAACAAUGACAAUGAAUACAGCAACAAAGAUGCUUCCUCCCUCGUACCAGCCUUCCUUCGCUCCAUGCUCUUUGAUUCCAAAUCCGAGAGAAAGCGCCGCACAGACACAGAGAAUCAGAAUUGUUGUAUCUUUCAAAGCGUCCAGCACAAAAUAGGACAACCCUUUUGGAGGCUGCUUGUGGGUUUGUUCUGAGAGAAGUGCUGACGCCGUUAACUCCUCCAAACUGGUUCAGAGCACACAAGUCCUUAUCCCGCACCACUCGUACAAGUCCUGCAUGAUCAAAUUCAGUGUUGGGGAGAAAACUGCACCGAUCAGUUUCAGU